UUCGCCGUUCCGGGCGGGUCCGUCCGCGUUGCGGGCGCGGCUCGUCCGGCCCGGGCGGUCGCUCCGGCCGGUUCCUUCCGGUCGGCAUUC
rnacentral:tRNA from 1 species